AAAAUUCCAUUGGUUAUCGGGGAUAUCGGCACACCUGGCACAGGUGAGACACCCAGGGGACACUCAGGGACCCCCACUCUGUGCCCCACGGUGCGGAUGGACUUGAAAUCCCAUUGGUUAUCGGGGAUAUCGGCACACCUGGCACAGGUGAUCAGGUGACACAUGGGGACACUCAGAGACCCCCUCCAGUUCCUGCCCCACGGUGCGGAUGGACUCGAAAUCCCAUUGGUUAUCGGGGAUAUCAGCACACCUGGCACAGGUGGGACACAACUGAGACCCUCAGGUGACACUUGGGGACACUCAGGGACCCCCGCUCUGUGCCCCAUGGUGCGGAUGGACUCGAAAUCCCAUUGGUUAUCGGGGAUAUCGGCACACCUGGCACAGGUGGGACACAACUGAGACCCUCAGGUGACACUUGGGGACACUC